CGAGCGGACAGAGAAGGAGCUUGCUCCUUUGACGUUAGCGGCGGACGGGUGAGUAACACGUGGGCAACCUACCCUAUAGUUUGGGAUAACUCCGGGAAACCGGGGCUAAUACCGAAUAAUCUGUUUCACUUCAUGGUGAAAUACUGAAAGACGGUUUCGGCUGUCGCUAUAGGAUGGGCCCGCGGCGCAUUAACUAGUUGGUGAGGUAACGGCUCACCAAGGCGACGAUGCGUAGCCCACCUGAGAGGGUGAUCGGCCACACUGGGACUGAAACACGGCCCAAACUCCUACGGGAGGCAGCAGUAGGGAAUCUUCCACAAUGGGCGAAAGCCUGAUGGAACAACGCCGCGUGAGUGAAGAAGGAUUUCGGUUCGUAAAACUCUGUUGUAAGGGAAAAACAAGUACAGUAAUAACUGGCUGUACCUUGACGGUACCUUAUUAAAAAGCCACGGCUAACUACGUGCCAGCAGCCGCGGUAAUACGUAGGUGGCAAGCGUUGUCCGGAAUUAUUGGGCGUAAAGCGCGCGCAGGUGGUUUCUUAAGUCUGAUG
rnacentral:rRNA from 1 species